GACGAACGCUGGCGGCGUGCUUAACACAUGCAAGUCGAACGUGAUUUUUGUGGAAAUUCUUUCGGGAAUGGAAAUGAAAUGAAAGUGGCGAACGGGUGAGUAACACGUGAGCAACCUACCUUACACAGGGGGAUAGCCGUUGGAAACGACGAUUAAUACCGCAUGAGACCACAGAAUCGCAUGAUAUAGGGGUCAAAGAUUUAUCGGUGUAAGAAGGGCUCGCGUCUGAUUAGCUAGUUGGAAGGGUAAAGGCCUACCAAGGCGACGAUCAGUAGCCGGUCUGAGAGGAUGAACGGCCACUUUGGAACUGAGACACGGUCCAAACUCCUACGGGAGGCAGCAUGGGGGAAUAUUGCACUGUGGGGGGAACCCUGAUGCAGCGACACCUGGUGAGCGAAGAAGGUUUCGAAUCUGAAAUUUCUGUCCUGUGAGAAGAUAAUGGCGGUUUCAUAGGAUUAAUCCCCGGCUAAUACGUGCCCGCGUGGUGCGGUGUUACUUAUGUGGCGAUCGUUUCCGGAUUAUUGGUGCGUGUGGUGUACGUUGGCGGUUUUUUGAUUCUGGUGUGUGUGUGUGUGAGGGUUGAUCUGUGAUGCUGUGGAUACUGUAGUGUGUGUGUGUGUGAGAUGGUGGGUUGAUCGAUGGUGGGCUGCUGUUUUUGUAGUGUUUUUUGGUUGUAGUGUGUGUGGUGUGUUGCUGUGUGUGUGUUGUUUGUGUGGUGUGUGUUGUAAAUGUUGUUCUGUAUGUUGUUGUGUGGUGCCUUUAUAUGUAUUGUUCGUGAAU
rnacentral:rRNA from 2 species